AGAAUGCACCCCACGUGGGGGAUUGUUUACUUAUAAGCCAAUCAGCGAACGACUCACUUUCCUCAGCGAAUGAUUCACUUUCCUCAAGCAGCGAACGACUCACUUUCCUCAGCAAACGACUCAGUUACCUGACGCAGCCGGCGACCCACUUUGCGCAGCCGGACACCCACUUUGCGCAGCAGGAGACUCACUUUCCGCAGCCGGAGAGUCACUUUCCUCUCGCAGCGAAUGACUCACUUUCCUCAUCGAACGAUUCACUUUCCUCACGAGUCACGCAGCGAACGACUCACUUUCCUCUUCGAACGAUUCACUUUCCUCACGAGUCACGCAGCGAACGACUCACUUUCCUCAGCGAACAAUUCACUUUCCUCACGAGUCAUGCAGCGAACGACUCACUUUCCUCAUCGAACGAUUCACUUUCCUCACGAGUCACGCAGCGAACGACUCACUUUCCUCUUCGAACGAUUCACUUUCCUCACGAGUCACGCAGCGAACGACUCACUUUCCUCAGCGAACGAUUCACUUUCCUCACGAGUCACGCAGCGAACGACUCACUUUCCUCAUCGAACGAUUCACUUUCCUCACGAGUCACGCAGCGAACGAUUCACUUUCCUCUUCGAACGAUUCACUUUCCUCACGAGUCACGCAGCGAACGACUCACUUUCCUCAGCGAACGAUUCACUUUCCUCACGCAGCGAAGUUGAGCGAACGAUUCACUUUCCUCACAAAGCAAUCAACUCACUUUCCUAAGCGAACGACUCACUUUCCUCACGCAGCUGGAGACCCAUUUUGCGCAGCCGGAGAGUCACUUUCCUCUCUCAGCGGACCAAUGACUCUCUCUUCAUGUAGGGACCGAAUAUUGUAAUUAAUGUGACUUCUAUAUUGCAUCCAAAAUAAUAUUUAGAUAUAUUUAAAUAUUCAAAAAGGUGUCAAUUUUUUUUUUUACUUUCAUUAAAAUAUUUCAAUAAAAUGAAAUAAUUGCCUAUUGCAAAUUUAUGAAUCCAUGGUUAACUUUUUUUCUGCAGUCACUGGGCUAUAUGUAUUGAGACAUUUUUUAAUUUAUGUUUUGUAAAAAAAAACAAAAAACAAAACCUGAAUUGUAAUCUAAACAUCUGUAUUUUCAUACAAUUGCAUAAAUAAGUAGGCUAUAAUAUACUGCACCACAGGCAUAUCGCGCUGUGUAAACGCGUUCAUGUGAUUGGCUUAUAAGUAAAUAAUCCCCCACGUGGAGUGCGUUCUUGUGAUUGGCUAAAACAAGGUAGAUAUCUGAUUGGUUGCUGAUAAUUCCCUGUUUAAAAAAAUGCAGUGAAGUUCACAGACCGCAAGCAGUUUGUAAAUCAAGAUAUAUGUGUGUGUUCAACAGAAAUAAAUUUCUGAAUCUUGUCCUGUGCAUUUGUGAAUCUUGAGUGCAUUUGUAAAUGUUGUUUGCAUUUCUGAAUUGUGUGUGUAUUUCUGAAUGUUGUGUGCAUUUCUGAAUUUUGUAUGCAUUUGUGAAUCUUCUGUGCUUUUUAAAUUUUGUGUGUGCAUUUGUGAAUUUUGUGCACAUUUGUGUAUCCUGUGUGUGUAUUUAGGAAUCAUGUGUGUGCAUGUAUGAAUCCUAUGUGUGCAUAUGUGAAUGUAGUCUGUGCAUUUAUCUUUAUUGACACUCUUUUGGCUCCAUACAUUAUUGCUGUUACUGUAUUUUGGGUGCGUUGUUGCAAAAGUUAAUUGUAAACUUUUCAUGAUUAUGAGGUUUUUAACUGACUAAAGUUAUGAUUACUGACUUUAUAUAUUUGAAUGUUUGAUAGAUUUGAUGCCAUAACGUCAUUUCCAAUGAGGUCAUUACGUUGAGUGUAAAAGAACCGCUGAACCGUUUUUUUUUUCAACCAGUUUAUUGAAUCGAAUCGUCCGAAAGAACCGGUUCGCGGAAAAGAAAAGAACUUCCCAUAUGACUCGCUGAAAGUUAUAAUCACCCCGGAGUGAAUGUAUUAAAUAUAGAAAAUAUUAAACUGCUAUUUUUGUCGUUUGGAAGCUGCAUUUAAAGUCCAUUUGGCAUAACAAUCUGAAAGGACACUUGCCUAGCUUUGAAUUGGCAUGAAGCCUCUGACGGUAGUACCCACCCAGCACCAGACAUCAUUUAGACGUCGUUUUCUGGUCUAAAUCAAGUCGGCUCGUUUUGUAAAGGUGAAAAGGAAUCAAUUUUUCCACUUAUUUUUUCAUUGUAUACAUAAAAAAUAUUUUGGAUUGAUAUGGAGUUUUUUAUUAAGGAAAUAUUGGAAAUUUCUUUGCAGCUGAGUGGAUAUGAUGUAAUAAUAUACUUCAGUGUUCAUGGAGUUGGCAAAGAUGAAGCAUAUCUCAUACAAUUGUUAAUUUUAAGUUUCAUAUCCAUAAAAUGAAGUGGUCAGGCUCCAAACCAAACUUUUCUCAUUUUCUAAAUGAUUUCAAACUGUAUUGUAAGAUUCUAUGUAAUUGUACAAGUAAAAAAGCUAUUCGAACUUAUAAUAUUGUAAACAGGUAUGCUAUUGUAUAAAGUGACACCCCAAAAAUAUUGAUUGAUUUAUUUAAAAAAAAAUGUUUAUGGUUGUUAUUGUCCAUAUUGUUCAUAUUUUUUCCUUCUCAUUUUAAUGUUUCUCGUUUUAUUGUUUUGAUGUAUGACAUAAUAAAAAAUAAAAAAAUCAAGUCGGCCCGUCAUGGCCAUCUUUUAGACCAAAAAGCGACGUUGAAAAUUGGUCUUCAUUUGGUCCAUCGGAUUUGGUCCAAAUUAAGCCCAAAAAGCGACAUUUAACGUCUUUUUUUUGUUUGUUUAUUUAGCCCAAAAAUAGAUGUAGAUGGGCUUUAGUCCAAAUUUAGCAGAAAAAAAACUUUUAUUUCGCACCACAAAGUCAUUAACAUAAACUAAUGGAGAAAUAUAUUAGACAUCAUGUCUGAAGCACUGUUAAAUAUAUUUAAAUAUAUUUUGAAAAACACUUGAUGGUCACGCGCUGAACUGCAGAGGAGGAAGUCAUCAUGGAAACGGGGCUCAGCUCAACCUUCAAGCAGCUGCAGACGCUGUCUCUCGUGGUUGUUUUCACUAAUUUCAGAAAUGGUCAGUGUCUUCAGAAAAAGUCCGUUAGCAUCUCAACUGUAAUGCUAACUACAAGAGAUUCUUCCAUGCUGAUGCCCGUGCGUGUAUCCAGCUGAAGAACAUCUUUAGACAUUAUCAAACAUAUGACUAACAUUAAGACUGAAAAUCAUUGAUAAACCACAAGCUCCAACCCCAGUUAAGCAGACCUGAGCAGCCGAUCAAGGAUCAGCAGAAACUCUGCAGAACGGUGGUCCUCCAGCCCAGGACUGGACACCAGUGUUAUGCUGCAGAAAAAACAGCGAGGCUAAAGCAUUCAAAGUGGAAACAUCUGCCGUGGCUCAUUAAUCCAGAAUUGGGACGGAGGAAAGAGCAGAAGAAGCAGAAGAUCAGAGAUCAGGCAGAGAUCUACUGGUGUCCCUGUGGGAAACCAUUUACCAAACGUGUUCGUUAAACCAAAGAUUUUCAUCACUCACCUUUAUGUUGUUCCAAGCCAGACUUUUGUUCAUCUUUGAAACAUAAAUGCAGAACUUUUUAAUGAAAUCGGAGAUUUUUUUUUUAUAUAAAAUAACGCAUUCACACAAGCACCAUGAUGCAUCAGUGUUGCAUUGGCGUGAGAGCUGGUGCUUUUUGGUGCUUUUGUCAAAAUCCAUUGGGGAUUCAUAAUUCCUGAAUAGAUUAUUUUUGCUGUUGUUGUUUUUUGCGUACACAAGGCAUCUGUUAAAAAAAUAUCUUAAUUUGUGUUCUGCAACAUGGUUUGGGGCAACAUGAGGGUAAGGAAAUAAUGACAGAAUUUACAUUUUUGGUUGUUCUAAUGUGGUUAUAAUUGGUCAUAGUUUAUUGUCUUGAAAAAUGAUAUUAAUACAGAAAGAUGGAUUAAUUUGAUAAGUUUAUAGUAAAGACUUUUAAAUCUAAAUAAAUACUACUCUUUUGCAAGGUCAAUUUAAAAAUACUGACAAAUGUAAUGGUUUCCACAAAAUAUUGGGCAGCACAACUAUUUUAACAUUGAUAAUAAUCAGAAAUGUUUCUUGAGCAGUAAAUCAGUAUAUUAUAAUGAUUUCUGAAGAUCAUGUAACACUGAAGACU